GACGAACGCUGGCGGCGCGCUUAACACAUGCAAGUCGAACGGAAAGGCCUGCUUUCCCUUGUGGAUUGCGGGUACUCGAGUGGCGAACGGGUGAGUAACACGUGAGUGAUCUGCCCCCAACUUGGGUAUAAGCCUGGGAAACUGGGUCUAAUUCCCGAUAGGACUGCAGGGUGGUGCCUGUGGUGGAAAACGAUUUUCUAGUGGUUGGGGAUGAGCUCGCGGCCUAUCAGCUUGUUGGUGGGGUAAUGGCCUACCAAGGCGGCGACGGGUAGCCGGCCUGGGAGGGUGGACGUGAACAGUGGGACGGAGACACGGCGCAGACGCCUACGGGAGGCAGCAGUGGGGAAGAAUGCACAAUGGGCGGAAGCCUGAUGCAGCGACGCCGCGUGGGGGAUGACGGCCUUCGGGUUGUAAACUCCUUUCGACCGCGAGGAAGCCACCUGGUUGGAAGGGUGGUGACGGUAGUGGUAGAAGAAGCACCGGCUAACUACGUG
rnacentral:rRNA from 1 species